rnacentral:rRNA from 1 species
CGUAGGUGACUGCGGAAGGAUCAUUAUUGAAUUUUGAAGGGGGUUGUAGCUGAUCCUUCGAGAUAUGUGCACACCUCUAUCCGAAUAUUAUACCACUGUGCACCUUUUGUAGGCUGACAUUGUUUGUUGGUCUAUGCCUUUUCAAUACACCACUGUCAUAAAAGUUUUAGAAUGCUAUUUGAAAAAAUUUAUACAACUUUCAACAACGGAUCUCUUGGCUCUCGCAUCGAUGAAGAACGCAGCGAAAUGCGAUAAGUAAUGUGAAUUGCAGAAUUCAGUGAAUCAUCGAAUCUUUGAACGCACCUUGCGCUCCUUGGUAUUCCGAGGAGCAUGCCUGUUUGAGUGUCAUUAAAUUCUCAAACCUCUCUCUCUAUUUAUAGGGAGAGAGUCCUUUGGACUUGGAGUGUUGCUGGCUUCAUUUGUCAGCUCCUCUCAAAUGCAUUAGCUUGUUACCCUUGUGGAUAGGCUUUGGUUUGAUAAUGUCUAUGUCAUUGCCAUGAAACAAAUGUCAGCUUCUAAUAAAUCAUUCAUAAAAUUUGACCUCAAAUCAGGUAGGACUACCCGCUGAACUUAAGCAUAUCAUA